AGGGUUUCGGAUGACCCGGUCUACCCCGGGAUGUUCAUAACCCUUUGUUGUCCGACUCUGUUGCCUCCGGGGCGACCCUGCCUUCGGGCGGGGGCUCCGGGUGGACACUUCAAACUCUUGCGUAACUUUGCAGUCUGAGUAAACUUAAUUAAUAAAUUAAAACUUUUAACAACGGAUCUCUUGGUUCUGGCAUCGAUGAAGAACGCAGCGAAAUGCGAUAAGUAAUGUGAAUUGCAGAAUUCAGUGAAUCAUCGAAUCUUUGAACGCACAUUGCGCCCCCUGGUAUUCCGGGGGGCAUGCCUGUUCGAGCGUCAUUUCACCACUCAAGCCUCGCUUGGUAUUGGGCAACGCGGUCCGCCGCGUGCCUCAAAUCGACCGGCUGGGUCUUCUGUCCCCUAAGCGUUGUGGAAACUAUUCGCUAAAGGGUGCUCGGGAGGCUACGCCGUAAAACAAACCCAUUUCUAAGGUUGACCUCGGAUCAGGUAGGGAUACCCGCUGAACUUAAGCAUAUCAAUAAGCGGAGGAA
rnacentral:rRNA from 1 species